UACGUAGGGGGCUAGCGUUAUCCGGAAUUAUUGGGCGUAAAGGGCUCGUAGGCGGUCCAUCGCGUCGGGGAGUGAAAAGCUGGGGCUCAACCCCAGUCCUGCUUCCGAUACGGGUGGACUAGAGGUAGGCAGGGGAGAACGGAAUUCCUGGUGUAGCGGUGAAAUGCGCAGAUAUCAGGAGGAACACCGGUGGCGAAGGCGGCGCGUGGACCACUACUACGUGAGGAACGAAAGCUAGGGGAGCAAACAGG
rnacentral:rRNA from 1 species